AAAUAUAGAAAGUGUGGUAUCGUUCGAAAGGUAAUUGAAUAGCCUUUAAUUUAAACUGUAUGGUAGGACCUUAAUGUUGACACUGUUGUGCAGGAGAGACGCUGUACCCGUUAAAAAAUAGUUUUUCAAAAAUAUUUCAAAAAGUUGCCGUCCACUUUCCGACCACUUGCCCUGAUUUAUGAUCAGUGGACAUCGACUAACAUUUAUCUACAAUAAAAUUUGAGUUACAUUACAUUUUUAAUUAGCCAUCGUUGAAGCCCACCGUUGAUUUUUAUAUACGAAAAAU